AAACUGGAGAGUUUGAUCCUGGCUCAGAUUGAACGCUGGCGGUAGGCCUAACACAUGCAAGUCGAACGGCAGCAGACCGUGACAAUCCCUUCGGGGUGCGUUUGGUGCUGGCGAGUGGCGGACGGGUGAGUAACACGUAGGAAUCUGCCAAACAGUGGGGGACAACCCGGAGAAAUCCGGGCUAAUACCGCAUACGCCCUACGGGGGAAAGCGGGGGACCUUCGGGCCUCGCGCUGUUUGAGGAGCCUGCGUCGGAUUAGCUUGUUGGUGAGGUAAAGGCUCACCAAGGCAACGAUCCGUAGCUGGUCUGAGAGGAUGAUCAGCCACACUGGGACUGAGACACGGCCCAGACUCCUACGGGAGGCAGCAGUGGGGAAUAUUGCACAAUGGGCG
rnacentral:rRNA from 1 species